rnacentral:lncRNA from 1 species
CCCUCUGAAUCAUCAAGAUUAAAUAUACAAUCAACUUCAACUUCGGAUGACAGAUCAGCCCUAUUCAAAGAAGUUGUCAUAAGUUCUUCGUCAACAAGAAGCUUGGUCAAUAUUUGUUCUUCCUCUUGAAAAACUUUCUCUUCAUGUAGAUCUGAAUUUUCAUCUAUCUCUAGUUAGAUUAGUAUGUCAUAUAUAUCUUUAGAUA